AGAGUUUGAUCCUGGCUCAGGAUGAACGCUGGCGGCGUGCUUAACACAUGCAAGUCGAACGAAGCACUGAAAGCGGAUUACUUCGGUUUGAAGCUUUCUUUGACUGAGUGGCGGACGGGUGAGUAACGCGUGGGUAACCUGCCUCAUACAGGGGGAUAACAGUUAGAAAUGACUGCUAAUACCGCAUAAGCGCACGGAAUCGCAUGGUUUUGUGUGAAAAACUUUAGUGGUAUGAGAUGGACCCGCGUCUGAUUAGCUGGUUGGUGAGGUAACGGCCCACCAAGGCGACGAUCAGUAGCCGGCCUGAGAGGGUGAACGGCCACAUUGGGACUGAGACACGGCCCAAACUCCUACGGGAGGCAGCAGUGGGGAAUAUUGCACAAUGGGGGAAACCCUGAUGCAGCGACGCCGCGUGAGUGAAGAAGUAUUUCGGUAUGUAAAGCUCUAUCAGCAGGGAAGAAAAUGACGGUACCUGACUAAGAAGCCCCGGCUAACUACGUGCCAGCAGCCGCGGUAAUACGUAGGGGGCAAGCGUUAUCCGGAUUUACUGGGUGUAAAGGGAGCGUAGACGGCGGUGCAAGCCAGAUGUGAAAGCCCGGGGCUCAACCCCGGGACUGCAUUUGGAACUGUGCAGCUAGAGUGUCGGAGAGGCAGGCGGAAUUCCUAGUGUAGCGGUGAAAUGCGUAGAUAUUAGGAGGAACACCAGUGGCGAAGGCGGCUUACUGGACUGUAACUGACGUUGAGGCUCGAAAGCGUGGGGAGCAAACAGGAUUAGAUACCCUGGUAGUCCACGCCGUAAACG
rnacentral:rRNA from 1 species